rnacentral:rRNA from 1 species
UACGUAGGGUGCGAGCGUUAGUCGGAAUUACUGGGCGUAAAGCGUGCGCAGGCGGUUCGUUGUGUCGGCGGUGAAAGCCCCGGGCUUAACCUGGGAACGGCCGUUGAAACUGGCGAACUGGAGUGUGGCAGAGGGGGGUGGAAUUCCGCGUGUAGCAGUGAAAUGCGUAGAGAUGCGGAGGAACACCGAUGGCGAAGGCAGCCCCCUGGGCUAACACUGACGCUCAUGCACGAAAGCGUGGGGAGCAAACAGG